rnacentral:rRNA from 1 species
ACAAUCUAUUAGACGAGUGUGUGUGUAAGUCCAAAGUCCAAUGUCGCAAGACUUAUUUGUGUCUGGCAGUCGCACACAUACACGUGCAUGCCAAAGUCUUCAAAGUCAAUCCGAAAUAAAGACAGUCAUCAAAAGUCAAUCAGACAAUCGACUAAAACGAGCGGAAUGGUCCAGUACCCUACCGUACUAGCGGCACCAAGCACGCCCGUUUCAUCAGCGGGCUAGGAUCGAUCCGCAGCACCCUACCGUGCUGGUCAUCCGGUCGAUCUCUGCACCAGAAAAGGGAACAUUAAGCCGUCGGCAACCUCGAUCGGACUAUUAUUGUCUUUUCGUCUCUUUUCGACGUCAAUUCACGCGUCGUGUUUUAUGGAGGCAGUCUGAGUAAGGAGAAGGAGGAGCGCUAGGCUAGAAGGAGGAGUAGAGAGAGCGCGAGCCGUCCGGUCAAAGACGUUGUUGUUC